rnacentral:rRNA from 1 species
UUGGAGGGCAAGUCUGGUGCCAGCAGCCGCGGUAAUUCCAGCUCCAAUAGCGUAUAUUAAAGUUGUUGCAGUUAAAAAGCUCGUAGUUGAAUUUCGGGGUUAGUAGGUUGGUCGUGCCUCUGGUAUGUACUGGUCUCACUGAUUCCUCCUUCCUUAUGAACCGUAAUGCCAUUAAUUUGGUGUUGCGGGGAAUUUGGACUGUUACUUUGAAAAAAUUAGAGUGUUUAAAGCAAGCUAACGCUUGAAUACAUUAGCAUGGAAUAAUGAAAUAGGACGUUCG